ensembl:lincRNA
GACAAAGAUAACAGCAGGUGCUGACUUGCAUUGACUUUAACCAAAUCAUCGGGUGCUGGUCCUUAGUCCUUAGUCCGCCACCAGAACAAUCCUUCCCAGGGAACAGUAAGUCACAGUCUCGCAUCUGAGCUGUAGUAGCCUCCUUGUUCUGAAAUGUAGUCACUGGGGAGAACAUUUUCAAAAGGCUUUUUCUCCACAUCUCCCACAGGAUGAAUAUGGUUCACUGGGAGGCCUGGCCCCUUGACAGCGAGUUCCAGUGAGGACUGAAAAUGGCUUCCACUGCCAAUUUUCCCAAGGCCUCCUGGGAACCGAGGGCCUGGCACGAGCACCGAGAGCAACUGCAAACCAGUGAGACCGACUCUGCCCACAGAGACCGCUCAUCCACAGGGGCCCCGGGAUGCAAACCACCAGCAGCAGAGCCGGCUCAGAGGACGGGGAGGGGAAGAAGCAAAGCUCUGCGUGCACUGAGGCGGCCUUCCAGAACCUUCUACCCAUGAGUGACCAGGACCUGCUGGACUUCCUGGAUCAUAUAAUUCUGUGGGGUCAAGGGAACCCUCCCCCAUCAAAGAGUCCUCGGAAAAUCUUUAAUGGGAUUGUGUUUUUGUCUGCCUUUCUUUGGGUUCAGCGCAGAGAAAUACCAGCUCCUUGGCACCAGAGAUGUGUGGACUUCUGCAAGUUUUGAGGUGAAUAACUUUAUUCAAGGAUAACCGUUGCGCAUUCCCUGGAAGCUGCAAGGUCUUAUGAUUACCCAUGUAAUUUCCUGGCACAGUUGGUGAUGCCUGAGUCAUCCCAGGAAGCAUCCCGGGUGUCUAUUCCCAAAUGCUUACAUUUGUGUCUCGAGUUCUGAGCUGCUCCUUCAGCUGUGAUUCUCAUUAUAAAACAAUAACCCUCAACUGUUUCUGGAGGCCCCCAGGCCUGAGGGGACAGUGUCCAAGAUCGGUCUCAGGCAGAUCACAGAAGUGGAGAGGGAGGAGCAGGUGGGUUCCAGUGGGGCCAAGAGUCUAAAUGCCAAACCCUCCACCAGAUUUGCUUCUGGGAAAAAUUAAAGAAGCCCACUUGGAGAGAAAGGGGAUUCUCUAAAAACCAGCUAAAUUCACUGGCCCGAUUCUACUACACUGAGAACAUCCUAGCAAUUCAAGCAUAGGUCUGGGGCUGUCUGCAGCCAUUUGAACUGAUGUAGUGGAAAAUAAAAGUCGUGUUUUCAUGUUAUGAGUCUCCUGGCUGUGUCACCUGGGCUGAGCUGCAGUAGUGACCCCAAUGCAGACGCAUUUUUCCAACCCUGAAUUAUUCAGGGUGCCAAGCUCCCCAGGACAAGACUUCUCAUCUGUCCAAACUCCGCCCAGGUUGUAACACUCCCCUCCCCUCUGUCUUCCUUUCUCAUUUCUCCCUUGCCUGCUUUGGUCUCAAAGGGCAUUAUGUAAUUCCAGAUUUGGGAGUUCAGGACAUUCUUACAACAGGAAUCCAAGAGAUGAAUUGGACCUUAGAGGAGAUCUAGUUCAACCUCCCGCCUAAUUCAGAAAUCUUCAAAGGCUCACGCUCUGUGCUCCAAUUUAAUUUUAGGAUGGGGAGAAUACUAUGGCACAAAGCA